rnacentral:rRNA from 1 species
UACGUAGGGUGCGAGCGUUGUCCGGAAUUAUUGGGCGGUAAAGAGCUCGUUAGGCGGUUUGUCGCGUCUGCCGUGAAAACCCGAGGCUUGAACCUCGGGCUAGCGGUGGAUACGGGCAGACUUGAGUUCGGUAGGGGAGACGUGGAAUUCCUGGUGUAGCGGUGAAAUGACGCAGAUAUCAGGAGGAACACCGGUGGCGAAGGCGGGUCUCUGGGCCGAUACUGACGCUGAGGAGCGAAAGCGUGGGGAGCGAACAGG